AUCAUAUUCUGUGCAUAAAUACCAUGUCACAGUAAACACACCAUAGCAAGUGAUCAGAGCUCAACACAAAAUGUAAGAAUAAGGAAGGGAAUUUUACGACUUUAUUCUGUCGCAUCUUUGUUUUAGUUGCAGGGAACCAGUAAAAGAAAAGCCAUGAAAGCCUUCUAUUUUGUGUUGUACCUAAUGAUUUUUUUUGUAUUGGUCAACAUGGAACAAUAUAAGCAGUUGAAGCGAAGAACGAUAAAUUCAUUAUUGGAAAAGGAAAACAAAGAGAAUUCAAAUCCUACAAUCUGUGGACGUAUACACGGAGUACUACACUAUUGUCCAAGCUUACAAAAAUGCUGUCCUCUAUUCGAAGCUGGCGUUCUUGCAACUUAUCUUUGUUGUCGCUGGCCUGGUGGAACAUGUUGCAGUGACGGAAAGUGCUGCCCCCCCGGUGCUGCAUGUCUCUCUUUCGAUUUAUGUUGGAAUCCAAGGAAUUCAACACAUGUAGAAACAAAGUAUUUCACGCAAAAAUGACGAAAGAAAUUAUAUCGUGCUUUAUUGCUUAUUUUCUCUCUUUUGUCCUAUUCAUUUAGCAGUUGGUAUACAUGAAAAAAGUGUAGCAAUCUUUUGUCAAUAUCAUUGAUUUCUGUAUAUGUGGAUUCAGUAUUUGUUGGGCAUUGGGUUUAUGAAAAUUAAUUGCCAAUUAAUUGUAUACAAUUAAGUCAAUAAAAACAGCUUUCUAAAUAGUA